rnacentral:rRNA from 1 species
UACAGAGGUCCCAAGCGUUGUUCGGAUUCACUGGGCGUAAAGGGUGCGUAGGCGGUCAGGUAAGUCUGAUGUGAAAUCCCCGGGCUUAACCUGGGAACUGCAUUUGUGACUGCAUGGCUGGAGUGCGGCAGAGGGGGAUGGAAUUCCGCGUGUAGCAGUGAAAUGCGUAGAUAUGCGGAGGAACACCGAUGGCGAAGGCAAUCCCCUGGGCCUGCACUGACGCUCAUGCACGAAAGCGUGGGGAGCAAACAGG